rnacentral:tRNA from 42 species
CUCCCUGUAGUUCAAUGGAUAGAACGAGUGCCUCCUAAGCGCUAGAUACAGGUUCGAUUCCUGUCGGGGGGACCA